UGGUCAAGUUAUUAAGGGUGCAGGGCGGAUGCCUUGGCACUAGGAGCCGAUGAAGGACGUGAUAAGCUGCGAUAAGCUUCGGGGAGUUGCACGUAAACUUUGAUCCGAAGAUUUCCGAAUGAGGAAACUCACUUAGAGUAAUGUCUAAGUAUCAUUAAGUGAAUACAUAGCUUAAUGAGGGGAACUCAGGGAACUGAAACAUCUAAGUACCUGAAGGAAGAGAAAGAAAUUCGAUUCCGUAAGUAGCGGCGAGCGAACGCGGAUUAGCCCAAACCAAUAAAGUUUUCUUUGUUGGGGUUGCGGACAUAUCAUAACGAAGAGGUAUCGUAAUUGAAGAGGUUUGGAAAGACCCACCACAGAAGGUAAUAGUCCUGUAUGUUAAACGAGAAGACUUUAGAUAUGAUCCAGAGUACCACGGGACACGUGAAACCCUGUGGGAAGCAGGAGGGACCACCCUCCAAGGCUAAAUACUACCUAGUGACCGAUAGCGUAUAGUACCGUGAGGGAAAGGUGAAAAGAACCCCGGGAGGGGAGUGAAAUAGAACCUGAAACCCUGCACUUACAAGCUGUGGAAGCACAUUUCUUGUGUGACCGCGUACUUUUUGUAGAACGGGCCAACGAGUUACGUUAAGUAGCAAGGUUAAGCACUUAAGGUGCGGAGCCGUAGCGAAAGCGAGUUUUAACUGAGCGUUCAGUUACUUGACGUAGACCCGAAACCGGGCGACCUACCCAUGAGCAGGAUGAAGCGAAAGUAAAAUUUCGUGGAGGUCCGAACCCACGAGCGUUGAAAAGCUCGGGGAUGACUUGUGGGUAGCGGUGAAAUUCCAAUCGAGCCCGGAGAUAGCUGGUUCUCCCCGAAAUAGCUUUAGGGCUAGCCUCAAGGUGAGAGAUACGGAGGUAGAGCACUGAAUGUCCUAGGGGGUAUUGCACCUACCGAAGACUAUCAAACUCCGAAUGCCGUCAUCUUAUACUUGGGAGUCAGACUGUGGGUGAUAAGAUUCAUAGUCGAAAGGGCAACAGCCCAGAUCGUCAGCUAAGGUCCCUAAAUGUAAGUUAAGUGGUAAAGGAUGUGGGAUUGCACAGACAACCAGGAUGUUGGCUUAGAAGCAGCCACUCAUUCAAAGAGUGCGUAAUAGCUCACUGGUCGAGUGAUCCUGCGCCGAAGAUUUCCGGGGCUAAAACUUACUACCGAAGCUACGGCAUCAGUAAUGAUGGGUAGGGGAGCUUCCCAUACGGGUUGAAGCAUGACCGUAAGGACAUGUGGACAGUAUGGGAGUGAGAAUGUUGGCAUGAGUAGCGAGAUGUGGGUGAGAAUCCCACAGGCCGUAAACCCAAGGUUUCCAGGGGAAGGUUCGUCCGCCCUGGGUUAGUCGGGACCUAAGCUGAGGCCGAAAGGCGUAGGUGAUGGACAACAGGUUGAUAUUCCUGUACUACCGAUAACCGUUUGAGAGAAGGGAUGACACAGUAGGAUAAGCUAAGCACACUGUUGGUUAUGUGUGCCCAAGCAUUGAGGCAGUCAAAGUAGGCAAAUCCGCUUUGAUAAUGCUGGGAUGUGAUGGGGAGCGAAAUUUAGUAGCGAAGUAGCUGAUUUCACACUGUCAAGAAAAGUCUCUAUCGAGGUUAAAGGUACCCGUACCGCAAACCGACACAGGUGGGUGAGGAGAGUAUCCUAAGGCCAGCGAGAGAACUGUUGUUAAGGAACUCGGCAAAAUGACCCCGUAACUUAGGGAUAAGGGGUGCCACCAUCAGGUGGCCGCAGAGAAUAGGCCCAAGCGACUGUUUACCAAAAACAUAGGUUUCUGCUAAGUCGCAAGACGAUGUAUAGGAGCUGACGCCUGCCCGGUGCUGGAAGGUUAAGGGGAUCUGUUAGAGCAAUCGAAGCAGUGAACUUAAGCCCCAGUAAACGGCGGCCGUAACUAUAACGGUCCUAAGGUAGCGAAAUUCCUUGUCGGGUAAGUUCCGACCCGCACGAAAGGCGUAACGAUUUGGGCACUGUCUCAACAACAGACUCGGUGAAAUUGUAAUUCCGGUGAAGAUGCCGGAUACCUGCGACAGGACGGAAAGACCCCAUGGAGCUUUACUGUAGCUUGACAUUGGGUCUUGGUACUACAUGUACAGGAUAGGUGGGAGGCUUUGAAACCAGGACGCCAGUUUUGGCGGAGCCAUCCUUGGGAUACCACCCUUGUAGUACUGGGACUCUAACCAUAGACCAUGAAUCUGGUCUUGGGACACUGUCAGGUGGGCAGUUUGACUGGGGCGGUCGCCUCCCAAAAGGUAACGGAGGCGCUCAAAGGUUCUCUCAGUACGGUCGGAAAUCGUACGUAGAGUGUAAAGGCAAAAGAGAGCUUGAUUGCAAGACAUACAGGUCGAGCAAGGAUGAAAAUCGGACUUAGUGAUCCGGUGGUUCUGCGUGGAAGGGCCAUCGCUCAACGGAUAAAAGCUACCCUGGGGAUAACAGGCUUAUCUCCCCCAAGAGUCCACAUCGACGGGGAGGUUUGGCACCUCGAUGUCGGCUCAUCACAUCCUGGGGCUGUAGUAGGUCCCAAGGGUUGGGCUGUUCGCCCAUUAAAGUGGUACGCGAGCUGGGUUCAGAACGUCGUGAGACAGUUCGGUCCCUAUCCGUCGCAGGCGUAGGAAAUUUGAGAAGACCUGUCCUUAGUACGAGAGGACCGGGAUGGACGUACCUCUGGUGUACCAGUUGUCCUGCCAAGGGCAUGGCUGGGUAGCUAUGUACGGAAUGGAUAAGCGCUGAAAGCAUCUAAGCGCGAAGCCAACUUCAAGAUAAGAUUUCCCACCGCAAGGGUAAGACCCCAGAAAGACUAUCUGGUUGAUAGGUCGAAGGUGUAAGUGCAGCAAUGUAUUUAGCUUAUCGAUACUAAUAGGUCGAGGACUUGACCAAU
rnacentral:rRNA from 1 species